GCGGGUCACGUGGCCUGGGGGUCACGUGACUUUGAGGGGGGGCGGAGAAAAGUUUCCGCUAAAUUUAGCGGGGAAAAUGUCCCGCUAGAUUUAGCGGGAAAAUUUUUCCGCUAAUAUUACCGGGGAAAAUUUUCCGCUAAAUUUAGCGGGGAAAAUUUUCCGCUAGAUUUAGCGGGGAAAAUUUUCCGCUAGAUUUAGCAGGGAAAAUUUUCCGCUAGAUUUAGCGGGGAAACGCUUCCGCUAGAUUUAGCGGGGAAAAUUUUCCGCUAAAUUUAG
rnacentral:SRP_RNA from 1 species